AACGCGAAGAACCUUACCCAGGUUUGAAAUACAGAGGACAGCUCCAGAGAUGGAGUCUCCCGCAAGGGUCUUUGUACAGGUGCUGCAUGGCUGUCGUCAGCUCGUGCCGUGAGGUGUUGGGUUAAGUCCCGCAACGAGCGCAACCCUUAUCAUUAGUUGCCAACACGCGAGGUGGGAACUCUAAUGAGACUGCCCGGGUUAACCGGGAGGAAGGUGAGGAUGACGUCAAGUCCGCAUGGCCUUUAUACCUGGGGCUACACACGUUCUACAAUGGUCGGUACAGAAGGCAGCAAGACCGCAAGGUGGAGCAAAUCCCUAAAAACCGAUCUCAGUUCGGAUUGUAGUCUGCAACUCGGCUACAUGAAGUUGGAAUUGCUAGUAAUGACGUGUCAGCAAUAACGUCGUGAAUACGUUCCCGGGCCUUGUA
rnacentral:rRNA from 1 species